rnacentral:lncRNA from 10 species
AACUCCCCUUGACCAUUUGUGAAUGUGUUUCUGCUUCUUGGAUAAAAAGGUUAAGGAGGUGGGAAAUGGGGCCAGCAGGUCUGUCAUUCAGAACCAAGGCCAGGACCAUCCUGGGUGGGUAUACACUGUGUGGCUUGAAGCAACCCCCAAAGACACCUUUUCCCAAAGUAUCUUCCCCACUAUGGUUGUGACAGUGCCUGGCGUUUUUGUGUUAUUCACUCCUUAUGUUAAGGCAAAGAGGCUAAUAUGAAUGUAUCAUGACUUACUAGAGCCUGAAAACUUAUUUUCAUUGGUAUUGAUUUCUCAGAUUAUGUUCUGGAACCUAGCAGGACUCUGGAGAAAUAGGACCUAAGACAGAUUCAUUUUGAGGAGGAAAAGGAUCAGAAAGAUACAAAACUGAAAUCAGGGUGGUAAAGAGGGAGAGGAGUGAAUACCUGUAGGAAUUUUAGGACAGUGGUUUUACAGAGGGAGUGGGGAAAGGAACUCACAUUUGUUGAUUACCUUGGUGCAAGGCCGUGUAGUGGGGAUUUUAUCUGUCUAAACUUAUUUAACUCACAUCAACCUAGUGGUCCGUGGAAGAAACUGAGCCUCAGUGAGAUGAAGCAAUGUAAGUGGCAGGAUUCAAAUCCAGGCCAGUCUGACUGCCAAGCCUUGAUAUUCUCCAUUACAGCCCACUUUUCCCAGGCGACGGGAGAAGGAAGUUCUGCAAGGGGAAGCAGAGGUGUCUAGACAACUUGCCUCUCUUACUCACAGCUCUUCCUAGGCCUGGUCCUGAGUGCUGUCAUGCUGGAGAGGAAACAUAGCUUGAUAGGGAAAAUCCAGGACCCUCCAUGUGGGAGAGGGGAAUGAGAGGAAUGGGCUUAUGCUGAAACAGUGUGAACGCAGGCCAGGUCUGAGCUGGAAAAAGUCAGCAAGGUCAGAAAUCACCUUCCUGUGUAAGGAGGAAGAGGAGAUGACCCUCCAAGGAUGCCGGGCAAGAGUGCCUAGAAACAGGUACUGUCUUUCUUGUUUCACUGGGUCCCCAGUGUGAGCAUCAUAAUCAGCAUAUAAUAGGAGCUUGAUAUUUAGUGACAGCAUCAAUGAAGAACCAAUCCCAGAGAUUCCUUAAAUUUAAGCCAGUGUGGUAGAGUUUACAAAGUGUUUUUACAGCUACUUGAUGAAGCAAAUCCCAUUUCCUCAAUAUUCAGAGAGGUUAAAUGUUUUGACUAAGAUCACACAGCUGGUAAUGGACCAAGCUACCUAAACCAGGUCUUUUGACUGCUAAGUCAAGUGUAUGUGUUGUCUCCCUGUAGUUAUAACUGACUUUAACCUCACAGACUUGAUGGGCCUUACCUGCUCAUGUAGACAGAAAACAUCGGCAAGUCCAC